rnacentral:lncRNA from 1 species
GGUAAAGAACGCUCCAGGGAAAUGAGUCCUGCAGAAAGCAUUACCCUUAACUGGGCACUGUGAUAGCAAAGCUCUCUCUUAGACACAGCCAAAUCAUCAACAAGUUCGUGAAUAGCGUGAUCAACACGCUGAAAAGCACUGUAUCCUCCCUGCUGCAGAAGGAGAUAUGUCCACUGAUCCGCAUCUUCAUCCACUCCCUGGAUGUGAAUGUCAUUCAGCAGGUCGUCGAUAAUCCUCAGCACAAAACCCAGCUGCAAACCCUCAUCUGAAGAGGACGAAUGAGGAGGACCACUGUGGUGCAUGCUGAUUGGUUCCCAGUGGCUUGCCCCACCCCCUUAUAGCAUCUCCCUCCAGGAAGCUGCUGCCACCACCUAACCAGCGUGAAAGCCUGAGUCCCACCAGAAGGACCUUCCCAGAUACCCCUUCUCCUCACAGUCAGAACAGCAGCCUCUACACAUGUUGUCCUGCCCCUGGCAAUAAAGGCCCAUUUCUG